rnacentral:rRNA from 1 species
UACGGGGGGGGCAAGCGUUGUUCGGAAUUACUGGGCGUAAAGGGCUCGUAGGCGGCCAGCUAAGUCGGAUGUGAAAUCCCCAGGCUUAACCUGGGAACUGCAUCCGAUACUGGAUGGCUUGAAUCCGGGAGAGGGAUGCAGAAUUCCAGGUGUAGCGGUGAAAUGCGUAGAUAUCUGGAGGAAUACCGGUGGCGAAGGCGGCAUCCUGGACCGGCAUUGACGCUGAUGAGCGAAAGCUAGGGGAGCAAACGGG